CUCCUCUGCCAGGGCACGCAGACGCAGGAGCCAGUCCUCAGCCUGCUCCAGAGCUGCAGGGAGCUCACUGUGGCCGAGCUUCAGGGCCAGGGCAGCCUCAGUGAUUUGGCUCAGGUGACGGGUGCGCAGCUGGUACAGGUACUGGCUCCACCACCUUUGGACUCAGCACGGGCUGGACUGCUGGCCAAGCGUGGCUGGGAGACGUGCCAUUGCUCACUGCCACACACGAGCACUCCCCCCUACCUGCAGCCUGCGAUGAGCUCAUCCAUCAGCUGAGCCACCAGCGAGUCCACAUCCUCCGUGGAGCACUGCGCCUUCAGGGCCAGGUGGACCUGCUCCAG
rnacentral:lncRNA from 1 species